UACGGGAAGGCAGCAGUGGGGAAUAUUGCACAAUGGGCGAAAGCCUGAUGCAGCUAUGCCGCGUGUAUGAAGAAGGCCUUAGGGUUGUAAAGUACUUUCAUCGGGGAGGAAAAAACAAAACUAAUAAUUUUAUUUCUUGACGUUACCCGAAAAAGAAGCACCGGCUAACUCCGUGCCAGCAGCCGCGGUAAUACGGAGGGUGCUAGCGUUAAUCAGAAUUACUGGGCGUAAAGAGCACGUAGGUGGUUUUUUUAAAGUCAGAUGUGAAUCCCUGGGCUUAACCUAGGAACUGCAUUUUGAAACUGAAAUACUAGAGUAUCGUAGAGGGAGGUAGAAUUCUAGGUGUAGCGGUGAAAUGCGUAGAUAUCUGGAGGAAUACCUGUGGCGAAAGCGGCCUCCUAAACGAAUACUGACACUGAGGUGCGAAAGCGUGGGGAGCAAACAGGGAUUAGAUACC
rnacentral:rRNA from 1 species